UCACAGCCAAGCCACUGCAGGCAGACCUGGGGGAGCCGCUCCCUGCUGCCAGGAGAGUCGGCCACGGAGUCGGCCACGGCCGGGAGAGAACUCCAUGGAAUCAAACCCCAGGAGUGGCUUCCUCAUGAGUUUCGUUUGGACACUGCCUCGUGCCCCACACCAAGAGUCGAGCCUGCCUCACUUCACGGAGGUUCAGUCACCUAACUCAUGCGUGUGCCCACCACUGCAGGCAACGACUCUGAGGCACAUCCAUCUGGUCCAGGGCAGACCAGUGUCUCACACAGCCAGAUCUGACAGACAGAGACCCAACCCGGGCCAUCUCCAGGUGCCCAGGCUCCCACAGCUGAGUUCACCAUGCAGGCUCCUCUCACCCCAGCCUGUGACCCCACGGUGGGGCUGGCAGGCUGGCCAGGUCACUCCCUGCACCUGUUAUCAGCCCUGGCUGCCCUUGGACAGCUGACAGCUUCGGCUCCAGUCACCUCGGCUACACAGAAACAGGACCCUCAGAUGCUCUAUCCCCACUCAUCCUAUGCACAAGGGCAUAGACAGAAUGCAAAUUAAAUCCCAAAAGCCAUUUGCCUGUGAUGGUGCAUUUACUAAUUUCAACACAAAGGAGUCAGGAAAUGCAGAAGCGGAGCCCUUCCCACGCACAGCUCCCACUCCCAGAAGAGCCAAUUACACCCCCACUUCAAUGACAUGUGACGAGAAACAGCACCAGCAUAGGUGAGUUCCUGUUUCUGCAAAACCCAGCUUCACUUCCUGAUCCAC
rnacentral:lncRNA from 1 species